CCGGCGCACGGGUGAGUAACACGUAUCCAACCUGCCGUCUACUCUUGGCCAGCCUUCUGAAAGGAAGAUUAAUCCAGGAUGGCAUCAUGAGUUCACAUGUCCGCAUGAUUAAAGGUAUUUUCCGGUAGACGAUGGGGAUGCGUUCCAUUAGAUAGUAGGCGGGGUAACGGCCCACCUAGUCAACGAUGGAUAGGGGUUCUGAGAGGAAGGUCCCCCACAUUGGAACUGAGACACGGUCCAAACUCCUACGGGAGGCAGCAGUGAGGAAUAUUGGUCAAUGGGCGAUGGCCUGAACCAGCCAAGUAGCGUGAAGGAUGACUGCCCUAUGGGUUGUAAACUUCUUUUAUAAAGGAAUAAAGUCGGGUAUGCAUACCCGUUUGCAUGUACUUUAUGAAUAAGGAUCGGCUAACUCCGUGCCAGCAGCCGCGGUAAUACGGAGGAUCCGAGCGUUAUCCGGAUUUAUUGGGUUUAAAGGGAGCGUAGAUGGAUGUUUAAGUCAGUUGUGAAAGUUUGCGGCUCAACCGUAAAAUUGCAGUUGAUACUGGAUGUCUUGAGUGCAGUCGAGGCAGGCGGAAUUCGUGGUGUAGCGGUGAAAUGCUUAGAUAUCACGAAGAACUCCGAUUGCGAAGGCAGCCUGCUAAGCUGCAACUGACAUUGAGGCUCGAAAGUGUGGGUAUC
rnacentral:rRNA from 1 species